rnacentral:ncRNA from 1 species
UUGGUAGCCGGGUAGACCGGCUUGAAAAGGGAAUCCCGUGAAAAACGGGAGCGGACCCGCCGCCGUAAGGUUCUUAACCUUGCUCCAUCUUGCGCCACUGGAAACGGGAAGGCCGGAGCAGGGGAACCAAGCCGGAAGACCUGCCAUGCC